rnacentral:rRNA from 1 species
UACGUAGGGUCGCAAGCGUUGUCCGGAAUUAUUGGGCGUAAAGAGCUCGUAGGCGGUCUGUCGCGUCUCUGUGAAACCCGGGCUCAGCCCGGCGUUGCAGGUGGAUACGGGCAGACUAGAGUUCGGGUAGGGGAGACUGAAUUCCGUGUGGUAAGCGGUGAAAUGCGCAGAUAUCAGGAGGAACACCGGUGGCGAAGGCGGGUCUCGUGGGCCGAUGACUGACGCUGAGGAGCGAAAGCGUGGGGAGCGAACAGG